rnacentral:rRNA from 1 species
CAGUCGCCGCGGUAAUACAGAGGAUGCAAGCGUUAUCCGGAAUGAUUGGGCGUAAAGCGUCUGUAGGUGGCUUUUCAAGUCCGCCGUCAAAUCCCAGGGCUCAACCCUGGACAGGCGGUGGAAACUACCAAGCUGGAGUACGGUAGGGGCAGAGGGAAUUUCCGGUGGAGCGGUGAAAUGCGUAGAUAUAUGGAGGAACACCGGUGGCGAAAGCGGCUCUCUGGUCUGUAACUGACGCUGAGGCUCGAAAGCGUGGGGAGCGAACAGGAUUAGAUACCCCUGUAGUCCCUGUCUCUUAUAC